AUACGGAGGACGCGAGCGUUAUCCGGAUUCAUUGGGUUUAAAGGGCGCGCAGGCGGCCGUGCAAGUCAGCGGUGAAAGCCCGGGGCUCAACCCCGGAAGUGCCGUUGAUACUGCGUGGCUGGAAUGCGGUCGAGGCGGGCGGAACGUGGCGGGUAGCGGGGAAAUGCGUAGAUAUGCCACAGAACGCCGAUAGCGGAGGCAGCUCGCCAGGCCUGCAUUGACGCUCGGGCACGAAAGCGUGGGGAUCGAACAGGAUUAGAUACCCUGGUAGUCCACGCCGUAAACGAUGGGCGCUCGUCGUCGGCGACAGACAGUCGGCGGCCAAGCGAAAGCGAUAAGCGCCCCACCUGGGGAGUACGGUCGCAAGGCUGAAACUCAAAGGAAUUGGCGGGG
rnacentral:rRNA from 1 species